UUGGCUAAGCCAAUUGCGAAGAAGUAGCGAAACAGAACCACAACCACGAAACCCAAGACCAACAAAUAUGGCCAAAGCUCCCUAAUUUACUUGUCAAAGUGCUGACACUCUUUGUUGUUAAUAAUUGUGUUGUGGUUCAUUCAAUGGCUUCAUCUCUCUCACUUUAUCAUCAACAUAUCUACUGUCUCUCUCGUAUUACUCUUUGUUUAACCAGAUGCCCACAUCAUAUUUCAACUCGUUCUGCACCAUAUUUUCGCAAGAGUUUCCUCAAAUUUGAUUCUCGUAGAACAACACUUCUGUUUGCUGUUACAGAAUCUGAUUCACCCAAAUCUCUUGAACCUGACCCUCUAAGUCUUCUCCAAGAACUCGCUGACAGUUUUGUUCUACCUGCAGAUUAUUUUUCGCAGCUUCCUCGUGAUCUUCGCUUAGAUCUGAAUGAUGCAGCAUUUGAUCUUUCAAAUGGGCCAGUUAAAGAUGAGUGUGGCGAGGAGGUGGGAGAGACAUUGUUGAAUAUAAGCCGAGCAUGGGAACAGGCUGAUACAUCAACAUCCACAGCUUUAGUGGACAAGCUGCCUUUAUUGGUUGGCUCAUUGACGGGCUCUCAAAAAUCAGCAUUUGGAAGACGCUUGUUAUCAGCUGGAAGAAGGUUCCAGUCCAUGGGACAAUAUGGUGAAGGUGAAGUACAGAAGAUUGCUAAAGUUAUGAUAGAGACUGGAAAGUUGUUGUCUGCAAGUCCUGCAUCUGGGGUUGAUGGUGAAGAAAAGCAGCAAACCAGGACAUUCAAGUUUGGGGAUCUUCAGGUUGAAUUGACCCCUGGAAAAGCCUACAUUGGAGCUACCAUUGCAAUUAUCUUUAGUUUUCUUUCUUGGGAAUUAAGUCAAGGGGUACGGAGCAUACCAGAGAGCUCAUUACAGUACGCAAAUGACAAUGCCUUGUUGCUUGCUAAGUCCCUGCGAGGAACUCUGCUUGUGAUGUCCUAUGCAUCGACUGUUUUAUCUGCUUUUGCAACGGUGGGACUUAUUUUACUUGGGGGACAACUCAAGUCGGAAGAUAAGUGAGAAGUUCUAAAUUCUUGUCUAGCCUUAGUUGUAAAAGUAGAAACUCAAGAAGAUUGUAGCUGCAUAGGCUGCAAUUAUCAGGCUAGAAGAAUGUACCUUUCAGGACAUUCCGGUUGCUGAUAGACUAAAAUGUGGAUCAACAACCUGUUGCUGGAAUUCCAAUGGUAUCAGUAAACUCGGUUGGAUAACUAAGCAUGUUACUUUGAAUGUGAUGGCCUCCUUAAAUUUGAGUAUAUCAAAGGUUCUUCGGUUGUAGCUUCAAUGUUGCAUCCUUGCUGACUGCAAAGCUUGUUGUAAAUAUUAUUUUGGCUUCUUGGAUUUUAAGGCUUUUAAAACAUUCAUACUUUUAGAAUGUCUGAAUCAUUUUUAAAUUUUUGCUUUAA